rnacentral:lncRNA from 1 species
AAUAUAUUAAAUAGUAGCCUGAUGCAGUGGCUCACUCCUGUAAUCCCAGCACUUUGGGAGGCUGAGGCGGACAGAUCACUUGAGUGGACUGAAAUCGGCGUGUCCCAAGGUUCCCAUGUCAGCUGGCUUCCUGCUGAGUGCAGGCCCUGGGAGGUUCUGGCAAGAGAUUGGUGAAUAGAAGAAAGGGAGAAGCCCAGGUUUACAUGACUUCUAGAUGAAGGAGGUAUUAGCUAAAAGGAACACUAACAACCAGAAAGUAUCAGAAACCAGAGAAGAGCAAGCACAAGAAUGAACAAGGGGUAUUUAGUCUGGAGGAAAGAAGAUGUAGGAAGAACAUGAUGACUGAUGUCAAGGGCAAGAAGGACCACUAAAUGGAAGACAAAUCAGGCCUCAUUGUGGGCCUCUAGAAAGCAAAAACAAAAGCCAAUGAGUAUAAUUAUACAGACUUAGGAGAAAGCUCAGUAUAGGGAAGAACUGUGUAGCUACUUUCACUGUCUGAAGUGGAGUGGGCCGCUUGCAGACAAAGUGAUUCCCCCAUCACUUCAAGUGUGCAAGCAGAAGCUGGUCAUUCACUCUUUGGAAAAUGUUGUAAAAGAGAUUCAUGCAUUAUUACAUGUGUGUUUGACUCUAGACUCUUCUGAUUUUGAGAUCCUAUGAUCUGGGAUGGUGUUGGUGCAAAUGGGAAGAAAUAGGUUGGAAACCCAAAGAUGGUGAUGCUAUAGCUAGCAGAGUGGAAGGAAUCGGAAGCAGGCAGCAGGAAGAAACUUAGAUCACCCAAUUAAGAAAAGAUAGUCAUGCAACCGUCUUAGCCCCGAGGACCAGGAUCAUCCCAUAAUAAUAUAGGGCUGCCCAAGGUAAUUGCACUUCAAAGGAGGCCAUGAAUCAAUAACUUUAUAGGAUUUUUGGGAUUUCAUCAAGGACAAACAUUUCAAAAUAGAAUUUUAAUGAUGUUCAGUAAAGAGGAGGAUAGUGUACCAUUUGGGUUCCCACUGCAAGCAGGGCCCGAAAUACAGGACUGCUGAGGACCUUGGGGAGUGGGCCAGGCACAUCCUUGGAAGCAGGCCUCAGGUACAGGCCAGGAGAAACUAGAUGGGUGGCACAAUGGAAGAGGAAGGAAAGAUAAGGACAAAAUAAACAGGUACAUUUACUAGGAAUGAACAACUGCCUGGACUGCCAGUGGUCUCAGGGGCACCCCCUUCGGCCGGGUUUAAGAAGAGAGGAAAGCUGGAAACCAGGAGACUGGGGCUUGAAGGCCCCCUGUGCCCUGAUUUCGCGAGUGACCUUGUAGAUGUCAUUUCACCCCUUUUCUACCUCCCUGUUAUCAAAUGCAGGCAGCUUGUUAGCCUAAAAGUGCUCUCGACUUUAGUGAAGAAGAUAACUUUAGAAAUUUAAGACGUUGUCUGCAUGAGUGCAAAGUGUUUGCGCUUAUUUGUUUCUCUAUUUUCAAGGUUGGGGGAGGGUGCACUGGUUAAGGGGGGUGGGUAGAAAGGAAGAUUAGAAGACACUGGGGCCAAAGUCACUUGACUCCAUCUCGACAUCCUAGGGCAGCCAGAGGGCAGAGAUCUGGCCAAGGGCGCAUGCCUGCAGUCCCUCGACCAGCCGGGCACCCGAGAAUCCAGCGGGCCUCCUCAGGCUCUGCUGUCCCUUGGGCAAAUCCCAUUGCAGAAUCCAGGGGUGAAAAGCGAAAGCGAGGCACGCCCCUCCCCCACUAGAUGGCACUGAAACGCCUCGUUCGCGCUUUUCAAAAUGCAGGAAGGGCGGGGGAGAGAGAGAGAGAGAGAGAGGGAAAAAAAAAAAGACAAAAAGAAUAUGGUGGAGGUGCGCUCAUUUUGGCUCACAAGCCCCGUUGUGCAAAGCAGGGUGUCAGAGAC